CCCUUAGACACUCUAGGCGGCACGCGCGCUACAAUGGGUGGAAGAACGUGUUACUGCCUCCGAAAGGAGGGGUGAAUCACGAAUUCUUGCCCGUGAAUGGGAUAGUUUGUUGCAAUUUUCGGACUUGAACUAGGAAUCCCUUGUAAACAUGCUCAAGAAUAGCGUGUUGAAUACGUCCCUGCCGUUUGUACACACCGCCCGUCGUUUCUUCCGACUGAUACUCAUUGUGAGUUGCAAGGACCCUUUAUUGGGAAAUUGCUGCAAAUGCUUCGUAUUGGAGGAAGAAAAAGUCGUAACA
rnacentral:rRNA from 1 species